AGUGAAGCGGCAACAGCUCAAAUUUGAAAGCUAGCCUUCGGGUUCGCAUUGUAAUUUGUAGAGGAUGCUUUGGGUAAAACGCCAGUCUAAGUUCCUUGGAACAGGACGUCAUAGAGGGUGAGAAUCCCGUAUGUGACUGGAAAUGUUAACCUAUGUAAAGCUCCUUCGACGAGUCGAGUUGUUUGGGAAUGCAGCUCUAAAUGGGAGGUAAAUUUCUUCUAAAGCUAAAUAUUGGCGAGAGACCGAUAGCGCACAAGUAGAGUGAUCGAAAGAUGAAAAGCACUUUGGAAAGAGAGUUAAAAAGCACGUGAAAUUGUUGAAAGGGAAGCGCUUGCAAUCAGACUUGUUUAAACUGUUCGGCCGGUCUUCUGACCGGUUUACUCAGUUUGGACAGGCCAGCAUCAGUUUCGGCGGCCGGAUAAAGGCUCUGGGAAUGUGGCCUCCACUUCGGUGGAGGUGUUAUAGCCCAGUGUGUAAUACGGCCAGCCGGGACUGAGGUCCGCGCUUCGGCUAGGAUGCUGGCGUAAUGGUUGUAAGCGACCCGUCUUG
rnacentral:rRNA from 1 species